GACGAACGCUGGCGGCGUGCCUAAUACAUGCAAGUUGAGCGCUGAAGGUUGGUACUUGUACCAACUGGAUGAGCAGCGAACGGGUGAGUAACGCGUGGGGAAUCUGCCUUUGAGCGGGGGACAACAUUUGGAAACGAAUGCUAAUACCGCAUAAAAACUUUAAACACAAGUUUUAAGUUUGAAAGAUGCAAUUGCAUCACUCAAAGAUGAUCCCGCGUUGUAUUAGCUAGUUGGUGAGGUAAAGGCUCACCAAGGCGAUGAUACAUAGCCGACCUGAGAGGGUGGUCGGCCACAUUGGGACUGAGACACGGCCCAAACUCCUACGGGAGGCAGCCGUAGGGAAUCUUCGGCAAUGGACGAAAGUCUGACCGAGCAACGCCGCGUGAGUGAAGAAGGUUUUCGGAUCGUAAAACUCCGUUGGUAGAGAAGAACGUUGGUGAGAGUGGAAAGCUCAUCAAGUGACGGUAACUACCCAGAAAGGGACGGCUAACUACGUG
rnacentral:rRNA from 1 species